GACGAAGGAUGCAAGCGUUUAUCCGGAUUCAUUGGGUUUAAAGGGUGCGUAGGCGGACUUGUAAGUCAGUGGUGAAAUCUCUUUGCUUAACAAAGAAACUGCCAUUGAUACUGCAGGUCUAGAGUAUAGAUGACGUUGGCGGAAUAUGACAUGUAGUGGUGAAAUACUUAGAUAUGUCAUAGAACACCGAUUGCGAAGGCAGCUAACGAAACUAUAACUGACGCUGAGGCACGAAAGUGCGGGGGAUCAAACAGG
rnacentral:rRNA from 1 species